GACGUAGGGCGCGAGCGUUGUCCGGAUUUAUUGGGCGUAAAGAGCUCGUAGGCGGCUUGUCGCGUCGGCUGUGAAAUCCCGUGGCUCAACUGCGGGCUGGCAGCCGAUACGGGCAGGCUAGAGUUCGGUAGGGGAGACUGGAAUUCCUGGUGUAGCGGUGAAAUGCGCAGAUAUCAGGAGGAACACCGGUGGCGAAGGCGGGUCUCUGGGCAGUAACUGACGCUGAGGAGCGAAAGCGUGGGGAGCGAACAGG
rnacentral:rRNA from 1 species